UAAUGAAUUUUCUGAAUAUUC
rnacentral:piRNA from 1 species